CUCUUUCACUGACCGUCUUCUUCCUCGACUUCCCUCUCCUUCGCUUCUACACCACAAACCCCUCGCUCAUUCUCUCCCUCUUUCUCUCUCUCAUAAAUCAUGAGAAUUAGGGUUUAGAUUUGAUCAGCUUCUUUUGGUUUCUACGUUUCAACUGUGAAAAUCUCCAUUAAUGGCUUCGUUGUUGCCUCUACCAGAACUCACUUUCCUCUCUCCACAACCGACUCCUAAACGCCGCCUUAACCUCUCGAGAUUUUCUUUUUCUUCUAAACAGUAUAAGAACACUCUCCUCCUUCGCACUCGAGUUCGGGCUAUUAGAGAAGAGAGUUUGGUGAUUGAAGAGAGAGAGCGUGAAUUGUUGAAGAAAGUGAAUGGAAAUGGAGCUGCUUCUGCUAGUAAUUCCAAUGGUUAUGGUUUAAAUGGAUCUUUGAUAGGGAGUUCUAGCAAUGGUGGUGUGACUGUGGUGGAAAGUGAUAAGGAAGUUAGCAAUGGAAGUUUGGUGAAGUACGUGAAUGGCAGCGGUGUUGCAGCGGCGGAAACGGUGGUGAAGGAAGAGGCCGAAUUGUCGGAGGAUGGGCGGAAGAAGAGAAUAGAAGAGAUUGGGAAAGAAGAUGCCUGGUUUAAACGAGCAAACCAGCAACAAGUUGAGGUUUCUGUUGCACCUGGGGGCCGCUGGAGUAGAUUUAAAACCUACUCAACAAUUCAAAGGACCCUGGAAAUAUGGGGAUUUGUUUUUACAUUUAUAUUCAGAGCUUGGUUGAACAACCAGAAAUUCUCUUAUCGAGGAGGAAUGACAGAGGAGAACAAGGCUCUAAGGCGGAAAGCCCUUGCAAAGUGGUUAAAGGAAAGCAUAUUGAGAUUAGGUCCUACAUUCAUCAAAAUUGGUCAGCAAUUCUCCACUAGAGUGGACAUUCUUGCUCAGGAAUAUGUUGAUCAGUUGUCCGAACUUCAGGACCAAGUUCCUCCCUUCCCAUCAGAGACAGCUGUGUCUAUAGUUGAAGAAGAGCUUGGAGGCCCAUUGGAUAAUAUCUUUGAUCAGUUUGACCAUGAACCGAUUGCAGCUGCCAGUCUUGGUCAGGUUCACCGUGCAAGAUUGAAGGGACAGGAAGUUGUGGUUAAAGUUCAAAGGCCUGGUCUCAAGGAUCUCUUUGAUAUUGAUCUUAAAAAUCUGAGGGUAAUAGCAGAAUAUCUUCAAAAGCUUGACCCGAAGUCAGAUGGUGCAAAGAGGGACUGGGUUGCAAUUUACGAUGAAUGUGCAACUGUCUUGUAUCAGGAGAUUGAUUACACUAAGGAAGCUGCUAAUGCUGAACUUUUUGCAAGUAAUUUCAAAGAUAUGGAUUACGUCAAAGUUCCAACAAUUUGGUGGGAAUACACAACACCACAGGUUCUAACAAUGGAGUACGUGCCAGGGAUCAAAAUAAACAAAAUACAAGCUUUAGAUCAACUGGGUGUUGAUCGUAAGAGGUUGGGCCGAUAUGCUGUUGAAUCUUACUUGGAACAAAUUCUCUCUCAUGGUUUUUUCCAUGCUGAUCCUCAUCCAGGAAAUAUUGCUGUUGAUGAUGUCAACGGUGGGAGGUUGAUCUUUUAUGAUUUUGGGAUGAUGGGGAGUAUCAGUCCAAACAUCAGAGAAGGGUUGUUGGAAACAUUUUAUGGAGUUUACGAGAAGGAUCCUGAUAAGGUCCUUCAAUCAAUGAUCCAAAUGGGUGUCCUUGUGCCUACUGGAGAUAUGACAGCUGUUAGACGAACUGCCCAAUUCUUCCUUAAUAGUUUUGAGGAGCGUCUUGCUGCUCAAAGAAGAGAGAGAGAAAUGGCUACAGCAGAACUUGGAUUCAAAAAGCCAUUGACCAAGGAGGAAAAAAUAGAGAAAAGGAAGGAACGCCUUGCUGCAAUUGGGGAAGAUUUAUUAGCCAUUGCAGCAGAUCAGCCUUUUCGAUUUCCUGCCACAUUCACAUUUGUUGUUAGAGCGUUUUCAGUGCUGGAUGGCAUUGGGAAGGGCCUGGACCCUCGGUUUGAUAUAACAGAGAUUGCCAGACCUUAUGCACUUGAGUUGCUGAGAUUUCGCGAAGCUGGAGUUGAAGUUCUCCUGAAGGACCUCAUAAAGAGAUGGGACCGGCAGUCUCGUGCGUUCUACAACUUAUUUAGACAGGCAGAUAGGGUGGAAAAGCUUGCUGAAACCAUCCAACGAUUGGAGCAAGGUGAUUUGAAGCUUCGAGUUAGAACUCUAGAGUCUGAAAGGGCAUUUCAGCGUGUCGCUGCUGUUCAGAAGACAGUAGGGAGUGCAGUAGCUGCUGGAAGCCUAAUAAACCUGGCAACAAUUUUGUAUCUCAAUUCCAUUCGAGUACCAGCCAUUGCAGCAUAUGCCUUUUGCGCGUUUUUCAGUUUCCAAGUUCUCUUCGGCAUUGUAAAGAUAAAAAAAUUGGAUCAGCGGGAAAAGUUGAUAACGGGAACCGCGUAACAAACUAUUCUGAAUUGGAAGAACCCAAGUACAUCCUGGACUCCUCAGGAAAAAGCAGGCUCAAGUACCUUUCUAGCAUAUCUACCUUGAGUGAUCAUAUGGUCCCUCCCUCAUUGACAAAGUACUUGCUUCGAAAAUUUUAAAACGCUCUCUAAUAGAUUGGGUGGGGGGGGAGGUUGAGAUGAGUUUGAUUUGGACUUCUUAAGCGUCUAAGUAAGCAGCGAGAUCCUUUAAUGAGACCAUUGCAUAUUUAGAGUAGAGAUUCAGCUAAGUGAGACUCUGGAUUGCAAGUUCUGACCAUUCAAAGAUGGAGCUUGGUGAAUGUUUUGUCUAUUGUUCUACCGAUAACAGCAUAGAUUUGAUGACGACCUCUCAAUGUUAAAUGGUGGGGCUGUGUUUUUCUCCAAAGCUUACCAAGAAUAGAAUACCUGUCUGCAUUCAGAAUUGCCAUUAUUUUUCCAAGGUCACUAGAAGGUCUUUCUUUGGCUGGACAUUUACCAUAAUUAACGGUUCUACUGAAUGGGAAGUUAAUUAUGUAACAACUACGUGGCCAAUAUUGGCGUUUGUAGCUUCCACCAUAAUUCCACAGAAUCAUUUUCAUAAACUUUGUAUAUACUCAACAUAAUGUAAUGUUAUUUAGUGAAAUUUGUGAGGCAUAUUCCAUUCU